UACGUAGGGACCAAGCGUUGUUCGGAUUUACUGGGCGUAAAGGGCGCGUAGGCGGCUUGACAAGUCACUUGUGAAAUCUCCGGGCUUAACUCGGAACGGCCAAGUGAAACUGUCAUGCUAGAGUGCAGAAGGGGCAAUCGGAAUUCCUGGUGUAGCGGUGAAAUGCGUAGAUAUCAAGAGGAACACCUGAGGUGAAGACGGGUUGCUGGGCUGACACUGACGCUGAGGCGCGAAAGCCAGGGGAGCAAACGGG
rnacentral:rRNA from 1 species